UACAGAGGUCUCAAGCGUUGUUCGGAUUCAUUGGGCGUAAAGCGUGCGCAGGCGGUUUUGUAAGCCAGAUGUGAAAUCCCCGGGCUUAACCUGGGAAUGGCAUUUGGGACUGCAAGGCUCGAGUGCGGCAGAGGAGACUGGAAUUCCUGGUGUAGCAGUGAAAUGCGUAGAUAUCUGGAGGAACACCGGUGGCGAAGGCGGCAUCCUGGACCACGACUGACGCUGAGUGAGCGAAAGCCAGGGGAGCAAACGGG
rnacentral:rRNA from 1 species